ACGUAGGUGGCGAGCGUUAUCCGGAAUCAUUGGGCGUAAAGAGCUUGUAGGUGGCUAUGUAAGUUGGACGUGAAAACUCCGGGCUUAACUUGGAGAGGCCGUUCAAUACUGCGUGGCUAGAGGAUGUCAGAGGGAAGUAGAAUUCCUGGUGUAGCAGUGAAAUGCGUAGAUAUCAGGAGGAAUACCCGUGGCGAAGGCGGCUUCCUGGGACAUAACUGACACUGAGAAGCGAAAGCUAGGGGAGCAAACGGGAUUAGAAACCCCGGUAGUCCUAGCUGUAAACGAUGGAUGCUAGGUGUAAGCAGAUCUAACCCUGCUUGUGCCGAAGCUAACGCGUUAAGCAUCCCGCCUGGGAACUACGAGCGCAAGCUUA
rnacentral:rRNA from 1 species